GAUGAAGAACGCAGCGAAAUGCGAUAAGUAAUGUGAAUUGCAGAAUUCAGUGAAUCAUCGAAUUUUUGAACGCAUAUUGCACCCGGUGGUAAUCUGCCGGGUAUGCCUGUUCGAGCGUCAUUGCUGCCCUCAAGCACGGCUUGUGUGUUGGGCCUCCGUCCUCCUCCCGGGGGACGGGCCCGAAAGGCAGCGGCGGCACCGCGUCCGGUCCUCGAGCGUAUGGGGCUUCGUCACCCGCUCUUGUAGGCCCGGCCGGCGCUUGCCGACACAUCAAUCUUUUUUCCAGGUUGACCUCGGAUCAGGUAGGGAUACCCGCUGAACUUAAGCAUAUCAAUAAGCGGAGGA
rnacentral:misc_RNA from 1 species